rnacentral:siRNA from 1 species
GAUGUAAGACAGGUUGAGGCUUA